CAUUGCUAAGAGGAUAUGAAUCAGACAGGAGACCUGCAAACUUGACAAUGAUGGCAAUUCUGGAUGGCUUCAGAAGGCAUAUUCCGUUGAUUUCAGACCACUCAAUGUACUGCGUGCUGCUGCAUUCCAAGGGGCUCAUUAUAUUUCACCAUUGAAAAGGCAAAUAAUCUCGUAUGCAUCUGGUAACCAAGCUUGUACACUCGUUUAAGGAAGGUUCGGAGGAAUGGUCCAAGAAGGCGGUAGAGCUUGAGGAUUCAUGAAGACUUUAGAAUUUGGUUGUGGAAUUUCAAAAUUAUCUGUUUGUCUUAUGUCUUCAUGCAUGCUGG